rnacentral:rRNA from 1 species
GCAAGUCGAACGGUAACAGAAGAGUGCUUGCACUUUUGCUGACGAGUGGCGGACGGGUGAGUAAUGCUUGGGAAUAUGCCUUAUGGUGGGGGACAACAGUUGGAAACGACUGCUAAUACCGCAUAAUGUCCUUUCGAGGACCAAAGCAGGGGACCUUCGGGCCUUGCGCCGUAAGAUUAGCCCAAGUGGGAUUAGCUAGUUGGUAAGGUAAUGGCUUACCAAGGCGUCGAUCCCUAGCUGGUCUUAGAGGAUGACC